UGAGUAACCUGCCCUUCACUCUGGGAUAACUCCGGGAAACCGGGGCUAAUACUGGAUAUGACUCGAACAGGCAUCUGUUUCGGGUGGAAAAGAUUUUAUUGGGUGGAGGAUGGACUCGCGGCCUAUCAGCUUGUUGGUGAGGUAAUGGCUCACCAAGGCGACGACGGGUAGCUGGU
rnacentral:rRNA from 1 species